rfam:Triticum aestivum genome assembly, contig: Triticum_aestivum_CS42_TGACv1_scaffold_557017_7AL
CUCAUACUCCCUCCAUCCGGAAAUACUUGUCAUUAAAAUGGAUAGAAAAGAACGUAUCUAGAACGAAAAUACAUCUAGAUACAUCCCCUUUUAUUCAUUUUGAUGACAAGUAUUUCCGGACGGAGGGAGCAUAAC